CGCCCGGACCCUCCAUCUCCGUCAGCCCCAGCGGGGUGAUUGCCCCGGGGCGCACCAUCACCAUCCGCUGUCAGUGCUGGUGCGAGGCCAGGAGGUUAUUGCUGGAUAAAGGUGGAAUCCGAAUCCAGGAGGUGGAUGCUGAUGGUGACGGGGGUGAAUUCACCAUCCCCAGCGCCAGACAGGAAGACGGAGGGAUCUACAGCUGCCGAUCUCGCUCCAGAUCGGAGCCACCCAACUGGUCGGAUCCCAGUGAUUCCGUGCGGAUUGUUGUAGCAGAGCUCCCUCCGCCCGGACCCUCCAUCUCCGUCAGCCCCAGCGGGGUGAUCGUCCCAGGGCGCACCAUCACCAUCCGCUGUCAGUGCUGGUGCGAGGCCAGGAGGUUAUUGCUGGAUAAAGGUGGAAUCCGAAUCCAGGAGGUGGAUGCUGAUGGUGACGGGGGUGAAUUCAUCAUCCCCAGGGCCAGACAGGAAGACGGAGGGAUCUACAGCUGCCGAUCUCGCUCCAGAUCGGAGCCGCCCAACUGGUCGGAUCCCAGUGAUUCCGUGCGGAUUGUUGUAGCAGGGGGAACCGACCCGACCCAGCCUGGAGCGGCGCCGACUCCCACUCGACCAGGCAGCGCGGGGCCAG